rnacentral:rRNA from 1 species
GACAGAGGGUGCAAACGUUGUUCGGAUUUACUGGGCGUAAAGCGCGUGUAGGCGGCUUUGCAAGUCGGAUGUGAAAGCCCACGGCUCAACCGUGGAAGUGCAUCCGAAACUGCAUGGGCUGGAGUCUCGGAGAGGAAGGUGGAAUGCUUGGGUGUAGAGGUGAAAUUCGUAGAUAUCAAGCAGAACACCUGCGGCGAAGGCGGCAUUCUGGACGAUGACUGACGCUGAGACGCGAAAGCGUGGGGGAGCAAAACAGGGAUUAAGACUACCCGUA